rnacentral:rRNA from 1 species
AUGCUACUUACUUUAAAGUAGAGUAAGUAUUCAAGAAAUUUGAAUAUAGUUCUAGGUAAAAAUUUGAUAAUGACAAAGUUUUAUCUAUUUGUCUUGACCAAAUCUUGUGCCAGCAGUCGCGGCAACACAAGGAAGACAAGUGUUAUUCAUCUUAAAUAGGUUUAAGGGGUACCUAGACGGUAAAUUAGGCCAUAGUAGGAACGUUUUUACUAGAGUUAUACAUGUAUGGGGAUUGUGUCAGUAUUAUCAGAGUAGAGAUGAAAUUUUUUGAUACUGUUAAGACUGGUAAAGGCGAAAGC